rnacentral:rRNA from 1 species
UCCUACGGGAGGCAGCAGUGGGGAAUAUUGGACAAUGGGGGAAACCCUGAUCCAGCGACGCCGCGUGUGUGAAGAAGGCCUGCGGGUUGUAAAGCACUUUUAGUGGGGAUGAAAAGCUCAGGGCUAAUACUCCUGGGUCUUGACCUAACCUAAAGAAAAAGCACCGGCUAGCUCUGUGCCAGCAGCCGCGGUAAU